rnacentral:sRNA from 1 species
UCUUAAAAAAAGUGCAUCAACAGCACAUGUGAAAUAAAUGUAAAAUUGUAACAUUUUGAUAUUUCUUUUGCUAUUAAGCAAUGAUUAACAAUGCAUCUACAGUGUAUGUAAGAGAAUGUUCGAUGCAAGUAGAUGUAUACAUCAUGCAUGUACAAUAUUUAUCUUUAAUUUGAUUCUAGUUCUUUAAAUAAACCAAGGGUUUUUCUUUAUUUUUUAAUCUUUUUUCUGUGGAUUAUAUACUUGUACAGUCUGAGAUACAUUUUUAUGUCUUAUAAUACAUGAAAUUUAAAACUUCACUAGUAUUAAAACUCUUUUUGAGAUUUCAAUGUAAGAUUUUUUUUUUUGGCAUGUUGAAUGUAAAAUUUUUACAAUUAAAAAAAAAGUUUAUUUAUGAGUAUAAUAAAAGAAUCUCUUCU